UACGUAAGGACCGAGCUUUGUCCGGAAUCAUUGGGCGUAAAGGGUACGUAGGUGGUUAGAAAAGUUAGAAGUGAAAGGCUAUAGCUCAACUAUAGUAAGCUUUUAAAACUGUCUAACUUGAGAGAUGGAAGGGAAAGUGGAAUUCCUAGUGUAGCGGUGAAAUGCGCAGAUAUUAGGAGGAAUACCGGUGGCGAAGGCGACUUUCUGGCCAUUAUCUGACACUGAGGAGCGAAAGCGUGGGGAGCGAACAGG
rnacentral:rRNA from 1 species